rnacentral:rRNA from 1 species
UACGUAGGGGGCGAGCGUUGCUCGGAAUUACUGGGCGUAAAGGGAGUGCAGGCGGCCGGUUCAGUCGAAGAUGAAAUCCCGAAGCUCAACUUCGGAACGGUCUUCGAUACUGAUCGGCUUGAGGCUGGCUGAGGAGAGCGGAAUUCCCGGUGGAGCGGUGAAAUGCGUAGAUAUCGGGAGGAACACCAGAGGCGAAGGCGGCUCUCUAAACUAGUCCUGACGCUGAGACUCGAAAGCUAGGGGAGCAAACGGG